rnacentral:lncRNA from 1 species
CCCACCCAUCUCCAGUUUCACAGCCGUGGCGAAGGGUGUGAAGCACUGUAGCCUGCCCUCUCUGGCGCUUUCCCUUCUAAGCCGCAGGAAGGCACCGCUUGGAGGGAGCCCCUUCAGGCCCAGACACUGGCAGGGACGAGCAGCAGCAGUGGCCGACCGCCCGCCUGCACCUGCCUGGCACCUGCGCCCGGAGGAUCCACUCCCACCCACACCCUCGGAAAAGGACAGGUGGCCCAGAGGCAUCCGUGUGUUCAAGAACCGCAGAACAUGAAUGUGGACACCAUCCCAACCAGGACUGUUCAGGGUGUUCUUGUUCUCUUGUUCUCACUCACUGACUACCAGCUUCUCGACGGGAGGGCCCCGUCUGAGACACAGAGCUUCACACGUUCCUUCUGCUUUAUUUCCUCUCCCUAGUGAAACAUUAAACACAGGAGGAAAAGAUACAGAUGUAGCCAUCAGAAGGAAGUGAGGCUGUCAUUCCAAAUGGCCCCCCACCAUGAAGAAACCCAGGCUUCUUAAAUCAGGAACCUCACGUCUCAGUUUUCCCUCAGGUUUCUUUCUGUGGUGUGAGGACAGAAACAGGCGUCCCUGCAUUCCUCAGCAAUCCUCUCCUUCCUCUAAAGGCACGGGAGAGGAUUUCCGAGCGCCUGCGAUGCUGUGGGGAACCGCAGGCUGGGCACCGUCACCAACGCGUCACAACAGAGCAAAUCUGCAUAGCCUUCCCCAACUACCACCGAAAGGAUGGCUCCGGCUCAGCUUGGUGAACGCUCAUUAAACAAAAAGCACACUCGAGUUUCCUAGCUUCAUUCCAGAACUGCUAUUGUGGCACAACAAAUUCACAACAAAUUCACAUCGGAGUCCCCUCGACCGGGAGCUGCGGGCCUGGGAAUGCACAGCACAGGCAGAAGCAUUCGUGGUUCGUCAGCUCCUGGCAGACGGGACUCACUUCACGGACACACAGACCCACGAUCUUCAUGCUAUUAGGGUAAUUUCAUCUUCACAGUAAAAAAUCACCAAUUCCCAGAGAAACGGAGCAUCAGCCCAGCUGUCGCACAGGGUCUCGCGGGUGCUGGUCACGGGACCUGCGGCCACUCCAAGCUAAUGAAGAGCCGUUUACUCCGGAGGAAACAUCCAGCGCUUCAACUGGCCACGGAGUUACUAAGUAUCAACCGAACAAGGUAGUUUUAAAAGGAAGGGAAAUAUUGCGACACGAAUGAAGGGACAGAUUAACUUGCUCCUCGGAUCCGGGCACACAGCUCCUCCUACUUCUUCUUCCUCUUUUCCUGGACACACCGUGGACAGAACCUGUGACAAGAAAGGCGCAGUGAGGCCCUGGGCGCCAUUUCCGCCAGCGCGCAGGGUGCCCAGGGCCCGCCUCCCCAUGUCUCCCAGGGCUGCUGGACGCCGGCAGGAGGGCACCAGGAGAGGCACACGCAGUGGGGCCGCGGCCCUCCCGCAGGGAAAAUGCGCCGAUGCACGUGCGGCUCUAUGCAGGACGCCGGUUCUGAAGCUGACAGAUACACCAUCAAUGAGCAAAACCGAUUUGACACCCAGGCGUUCCUCCUUAACAGGUGGGUCCUUCUUCCCCGGCCGAUGGCAGGGUCGCUGGUGCCCUCUGUCUGCAGUCUGUGGGGGCUGCAGGUACCAAGCACGCGUUGAGAGCAUGGCAGCCCCUCAGGCCCACGGAAACCCAGCCAGGCACCCUGCACUGGCCCUGGAAGCUGCCGUCUCACAAGUGCUCCCUGGUGACUCUGAGCAAGUUCUGGAGCUGCACGCACAAGGGGCUCCUGAACAGAGGCAGCUGCUGACCACAGAGGACAUUCCAUAGGUUCCCCACGCAGGAGGCAGCCGACUCGCAUGACGGCAACCGUCAACCACCGCCUGGCCCAGGCCCAAGCCUGCCCAGGGCCCUCCGCCCUAACAGCCUCCGUACCCCUUCUCAAAACCCUCGGUGCACCAUCCCCCAGCCGCACGGCGUGGGGCACCACAGUGCCAUGUGUCCCUGUGACAGGACAGCCUGUGUUGACGCCACAUGACACCGUGAGCUCGGCCAGCCUCCGAGACACGGCAUCCUUUCCCUGUGUCCUCACACCGAACACCAAGGAUAACUGGCUCUUACCAACUCGGGCGAGUCUGCCGGAGUUUCAAACACGCUGCCACGAUGACCUCUGAGUGCCACACAGAAGAGCACAUUCCGAUUUCAUUUUCAGAACAUAGAUAUCCAUUUUUAGAUUUUCAGCACAGGCAAACAAAGCCAGGUUUUUAUCUUUUUAUUUAUUUAUUUGAGACAGGGUCUUGCUCUCUCGCCCAGGCUGGAGUGCAGUGGCGCGAUCUCAGCUCACUGAAGCCUCGGACUUCCAGGCUCAAGCCAUCCUCCCGCCUCCGCCUCCCAGGUAGUUGGGACCACAGGCACGCACCACCACGCCCAGCUAAUUUUUGUAUUUUUUGUAGAGUUGGGGUCUCCCGAUGUUGCCCAGACUACAGGUUUUUAUUUAAAUGAAAUCUGAGGAACAACAAUGCAGAAAGUUGCCAUUGCCAAGGGGAUGCAAGGGUCAGGUAGAGAAAACACACCCUUCUCCACUAGACAGAGCCAGGGGCAGAGCCCCAGAUCCAUGCCCCGGCUUCAGGGCUCACAUCUCAUGCUAUAUUUCCCAAAUUUCCCUAGGGGACAAGAACCUCUCAUUUCUGAUUUAAGACGAUCCCUACCUCCCAGAGUCCGGAAGGUUGUCCUUCAGGAGGGGCCAUUAACGUGAAUAUCACGUAACCUGGUAACCACCAUUCCUGGGUGACGGCAUCCCUCUGCCAGCUCGGACAGGCACAGCAGCAAAGGGGGGAUAAAGCCACACCCAGAGCAGCCACCAGCCAGCCACACUCCUUGAGGCCACAGUGGGGCAUGCCUACGUGGCUACCGUGUCCCGCUAAGCCCGGCAAGAUUCUGCCAUGGAGCACCUUCUCCUGGGGAGGCCAGCAGCGCAACACCCAGCAGACUGGGAGAAAACAGAGCGAGCGUCCCCACACUCACCAUUUUCCUUUGGGUUUCGUGGUAAGGUCCACGCAGGCAAAGUGAAACCACUCAAUUGGACACUGCAAAGUAAAGGGAGAAACCGCAGUCAACACGCCUCAUGUUCUGUAUGCAAAACACAAGAAAUGCCAACAUCCGCCAGCCCUGCCCCACACAAGACCCCGCCCCAUGGCGCGAAUCCUGCAGGCGACACUCACGUCUGGAUUGUCACAGCCAAUCAUCUCCCCAUAGGAGACCUGGUGGCACAGGCAGUACGUGGGUUCGUUUGGGUCCACGGGCAUGUCCAGCACAUCAGAGGGGUGCACGGACAGGAUGGUGUCAGUGAACUCAGACCUGCAGGGGACAGGGCACAGGCACCACUGAAGGCCAUGGUGGGAAGUGAGGCGGCACGGACACCACGGGCCCUUCUGUCUCUGACUUAAGGCCCCCUCACCCCAAAACUGUGAAGACAAUCAUUCCAAGGGGGAAAUUGGUACCGUGCUCUGAGCGACACAUAAUGAAUAAGCUUGCUUCCAUUUUUCCCAUUGUCCUUUAGAAAUGAAUGCGACUCCAGGGCCAGCCACUGCAGUCAUGCACUAACUGAAUACACACCUUGUGGACGUUUUCUUCCUGGAGCACACAUUUUCAAAACCUCAAUAACCCCUCUGAACACGCAAUGUUCUAAGAAGGCGCAGCAAGAAAAUCAUUAAGUAUACGAACAGAUUGUCAGCUGAUGCUAGAAAGAACAGUUACCCACAAAAAUCCAGGAACAGCAGCAGCUGGCAGCAGAGGGGUGGAGACCUCGCGCCCACCUUCGGGCCCAGGCAGGGGCAUGGGGGCACAGAGGGCCCCCAGGAGGCCGUGAAGCGCAGCACUCACCCACAGCACCGGGGUUCUGGUCCCACUCUGGGGACGAGUCCACUCUCAUCUCGGUCCCUCCUCCCAGACAGGACUCCCCCGGGGACCUCUGGACUCAACCCACUUCUGGGCCAUCCCUCCAAAGACCCCGGCCCCUUUGGAAACAAGCACACGUCACCUCUGCCAGCAGACGGCUGACACCUGAGAGAAGCCUGCCAGCCUCCCACUCCAGACUGACAGGUGUCAGAGCAGCCCGCACAGUCAACAGCUCUCCCGUAACUGUGACCUCCUCCCAAGAGAACAGCCAUGCGUCCUGCGCCCGGGCCCUCCACGCACCUACUCAGGCACCUCUGCCCCAAUACUGACUCAACCAGCAGCUCCCCACACACUCCCUGGACCGCCCACCACCCACCCAGCUGUCCACCUGGCACAGGGCCCCUUCCGACCACACACCAUCCUUGUCACUCCUUCAUCCCCAUCAGCUCCCACGUGGGUUUCUACACAGCAGCCUGGCAGGUGUUCCACCCCGUCUAUGCCUCCCUCCAAGCCUGCCACCUGUAGCACCAUGGCCGUCCCACCAGGACCACAGACCUCAGGUGGAGACUUUCCUGUUUGAAAGGGAUGCACUUAGGGGGAAAUUUACGCUUUUAUAUUUCAGUAUUUUUCAAAUAAACUUACAAGCUGCAGGUACUAUAGACAGUGUAUUCCCAUUAGUACAGAAAGAAAAAGUAUCUUCCCUAUCCCACCCUCCAACCCACGAAUAUCUAGUUGGUAUGUAAACACAGCAGGUUAGCAGGAGGAACGUGGCCGUGAGAAAAACAGUCACGAUCAGGGAAAGCCAAGGAGCAGAAGUCUGGGUCCCAGAGGGAAUCAACACUCAGCUUUUCCUUGGAUACCUGUCUAAAGCUUUUCUACGCCUUUGCAAUUGCCUGUACACAUACACACACACUCGGGCUCAGCAUGCACCCGGCCUCCCCGCUGCCCUCUGGCACAGGGGCGCCCACCUAAGUCUGUCCUUUGCAGGUAAUCUGCUCUUCUGCUCUUUCUCUCUGUCUGGGAAUAGACAGGGGUUUCUCUUUAGAGCUGAAAUCCAUCAGCGUCACAAGUCCAGGUCCAGGUGCUGCCGACACUGCUUUCAAGCAACAGUCUCAAGUAGUCUUCGGGUCUCUCCUCUGACAGCAGCACGCAAGGGUCUACGUCUCAGCCUCCUGCCGAUUCCGGGAUGCCACCUGUGGCUUCACCUCCAAGGGGCUCCUGCGGUCUCCUCGAGUCACCUCUCACCCGCGGAGAGCAGGGCAGCACCCUCUGCUGCCAACCGUCCCCGAAACGCUGACGCCCUCCUCUUCUGCGCCGAGUCCAAUUCUGUCCACAAAGCCCGACCUGACAUCUUGAGCUGCCACUUGACCUGUGUCUCAGCAUCACCAGGUUCGAGGGCGCUGGCCAGAUUUGAUGGCUGUGGGAGAGGGCCGGGGGCCUGAGGGGACCGCCCAGCAAGGGCACCCCAGAAGCUGAGGCCACCGUGCAGGCCUCACUGGCCUCUCAGUCUCGCCUGAGGGAGCGCCAUGGCGUGUGGCCAGGGAGUGCUGCUAUCAGCCCUGAGGGAGGCAACCAGGAGGCCAUGGGGAGCCCUGUCCCUUGCACAGGCCAGGGUGACCCCAACUGUCAGCGGCUGCUGACUCCCUUCAGCACCACUGCCACAAGAGGCACCCUCUGUGCUAACUCCCCAGGGUGUGGCAGGCACCCCUCGCCAGACGGUGCCAGCGAGCCCUUCCGCGCCCGGCCCCGAUGGCUUCCCAGCACUCCACGUGGCUCCUAGCAGGGGGCUGGCUGCCUGUCCAAGCCCCGGGAUUCCAGGUGCUACAGGUGACACUGCCCUUCAUCCACACACACAGGUUCUGCCUCGCCAGAGCAAGGCCACAGGGCAGCAACAGUGCAGGGGGCAGCCUCAGGUCACGGGAUCUCAGACGAGACACGGAGCAUCUGUGCAGUCUAGGAACACUGCAUUCCAGGAAGAGCCCCGGGCACGUGGGGAACAGGCCUGAAGAGGGCAGUCCACAGGGACAGGAUGGUGCGUGCGCCUGGGUCCCCAGCAGGGAACAGGACCUGCCUUGAGGCAGAGCGGCCUGGCACCACAGCGUGACCACGAGGGGCGUGAAUACCCACUGUGCUGAUGGGUCAGGGACGCGCACCACAGAACUCCAGAGCCCAGGGGCAGGCGGGCUCCUGCACACACCCAGGAUGAUGCCCUUGGAGGCACCCGAGUGCACACUCCCGCCCCGGCAGGCCAGGCUUUGGGUCCAACCGACUGGUCCUCAGGAUGACCCGUCUGCCCACCUGCACCAUCCUCCUGUCCCUCUGGAAGGGGCCUCCUUGGCGCCUUGGACGUCAGAGCCCAGCUUCAGAGCUGGCCUUACCAGCCUGUCUCGACGUCUUGCAAUGGGACAGGAGCAGCACUGCCACUUGGGGGCACAGAGAAGAAAGAGAUUCACACACAAGCUAGAUCCAGAGCCGCAGGGCCCCGCAACUGUCGCCAUCGGUGAUCACCCUUCUCAUCUGUCACUACUGGGACCUGCACGGCAGGCAGCGCUGAGCUCCCAGGCUCCGCAUUGCUACUAAACAGUGCUGGUCAGCGCACUGUCAGGACAGGAAAAGCCAUGAGGCCACAGUGGAUCUUCCUGUGUUUGCAGAGGUGCUGGCUGUUCCUGAGGUCUCUGAAGCUGGGCAGAGCCCUCAGGGAGGAAGCCCCGACCCCAACAGGGAGCUGGAGUCUCCUUCACCCCCACGAGGACCCCCAGUGCCUGCAUUCCUUAUGCCUAGCAUACCCUUGAGAAACAGCACUGGGUGAGGAAGAGACCAGGAGGAGUCCCACUUUCACGCAGAAAAGGCACGGUCGGGACAGGGCCUUCAGGUUCCGAGCAGGAAGGAGCAGGAAGACUCAGAACGCUGUUGCCACUGAGUUAGAAAACACAAAACCCAGCAAGUCACAAAAACCACAUUCUCAAAGAUGUCGGGGAGCUGUGGAGCAACAAGAGCUAGAUGACCUGCAGCCAGAGUGGGGGGUGUUGGGGGGUUGGGGGCGGCGUCCGCCUGCCUCAUGCACUGAGUGAGGGCUGGGCUGGCCACUGGGCCACGCUGAGCCCACACAGCCACACAUGGCGGCCGCGUCCCCACCGACAUUUAUAGUCCAGAGGCUGCACAGAGCAACUAAAAGCAGAGGGAAAAUCCCUGCAACCUCGGAGUUCUCGAGCAAGGGGUCUGCUCGGGCACCGCUGGUCUCCUCCCCCGCACUUCUACCAACUGUGGAAGCCGCUGGGGCAGGAGGCGAGAGAGGAAACCUCAAGGUCCUCAAGGGGCCUCGGUGGAGCUGAAGCUGAGACCCUGCCCCGCCCCAGGCCCCCAGCCCUAUUGGCCUGGACUAAAACAGAACGAACACCUCCUGGGGAGAACAGAAAUUUC